AUAUAUACAAUUUUGGACUUCUGGUAUAUAUUGGAAGAUUGGACGCUCUGGAAACACUGGUCUUCAUUCCACUAUAGCAAUGCACAGCCUCAGUGUCCAGAAGAUAACGGGGAGAAUGGAGCAAGGACUUCGCGGACCCCAGAGGGCAUCGUAAUGUAUCGGAAGGAUCCCUGGCCAACCGGCUUCAUCUUCACUCACUGACAUCAUCGCUUAGCCCGUGAGAGCUUUUGAGAUUUUGACCCUUGCUUUAAGGUACUUGAAGAACUCAGUUAAGAUACUAAUGAUUUUGGAGGAAGUUAAAACAUCAGGCAAUUAUGAAGCACAAACAUCCUAAUUGAAAUCUAUUGAAUAAAAAACUCUGGUAAUCUAGCUAGGCUGGUCACAGACACAGGAGGGAACAGAAAACCCAAAAGCCAACCUAGGGGCUAAAAUGGGCUGAAGGUCGAGAACUUUUGCCAAUGGUCCGUUUAGAAUUCUAAACCGUAGCUGCAGAUUGCUGACGGGACAGCAAAUAGCCCACAUCUUCUAGGCUUGGGCCCAACAAGAAAACAUUUUAUAUUAUUUUUAUACCAGAAUCUUAUUCAAGAAUUUGAGGACAGUUAAUAAUACUAACCCACAGAAGCCUGUCAUUCGUUGCUGCCACCUACAUACAAACACAUACCUCUGGCCUCAUGUCAUCCAGCUUCUCUGUUUUUCCCCAACAAAUGUGUUUUUUUCCAGCUGUCUUUCCUACAAAAACUCUCUACUUCAGAGGUUUAAAACCAUUUUUGUCCCAUGGAUCGUUUUGCCACUCAGAAAACGAAGAGGAUAGAAGAAAAAUAGAACUCACAUCGAGUGUCGUGAGGACAAGAGUUUCAGAGCCACUGCUAAGGAGUAUAACCUUUAGAGGGGAGGCAGAUAAUGAAGAAGAAAGUACUGCAUGUUGAUAAAUGCCCUGACAGAAGAACCAAGACACUCGUGGCAUUGCCCAAGCCGGAGGUUUUCAGAUGGGGCCUUGCAGCUCCAGAGCAGGUUCAGGGCCUCACAGAUUGUGAGUGCAACCUGGCUCGUUGCCCACAGCAUUCUACCUGCCGCUCUGGGAAAGGCUGAGCCUAGAUGGAGAAGAAAAGGAAGCUCCAUUUUACAGAACACUGUCCUGUAUGCACGCUCUGAGACAGUCAUGCCAGGCAGAGGGCACAAAAUAUUUCAAUAAAUAACUAUCAAAGUACAUAGUUGUAUAUCUUAGUUGUGGGUCCUUCUAGUUGUUGUAUGUGGGACACCACCUCAAUGUGGCCUGAUGAGUGGUGCCAUGUCCGCCGCAGGAUCCAACCCAGAGACCCCUUGGCCGCAGCAGCAGAGCACACGAACUUAACCACUUGGCCGGGAAGCCAGCCCCCUGUCACAUGGUGCACCAUGGAGAUUCUGCUAGACAGCACACUCAAGAGGGAAAUGUUAAAAAGGAGAACCAGCCAAACAGUGUCCUCUCCAUUUGUAGCCUCGCAAAGAAAACUCACAGGCAAAGCCCUGGAGCCCUGUCAAAAUCAUGCAUGGAGGUUGGCUCCUGGAAAAGAGAGCAGGAUGGAGAAGACAGUAAUCUGGAGGGGCAAGAGGGAGAUAUCCUACACACAGACCUAGUGACAAGUCACAUCCA
rnacentral:lncRNA from 1 species